GUGCUCGCUUUGGCAGCACAUAUACUAAAAAUUGGAAUGAUACAGAGAAGAUUAGCAUGGCCCCUGUGCAAGGAUGACACGCAAAAUCAUGAAGUGUUCCGUAUUUUU
ensembl:snRNA U6 U6 spliceosomal RNA